rnacentral:rRNA from 1 species
GGUGAACGCUGGCGGCGUGCCUAAUACAUGCAAGUCGAGCGAACGGACGAGAAGCUUGCUUCUCUGAUGUUAGCGGCGGACGGGUGAGUAACACGUGGAUAACCUACCUAUAAGACUGGGAUAACUUCGGGAAACCGGAGCUAAUACCGGAUAAUAUUUUGAACCGCAUGGUUCAAAAGUGAAGGACGGUCUUGCUGUCACUUAUAGAUGGAUCCGCGCUGCAUUAGCUAGUUGGUAAGGUAACGGCUUACCAAGGCAACGAUGCAUAGCCGACCUGAGAGGGUGAUCGGCCACACUGGAACUGAGACACGGUCCAGACUCCUACGGGAGGCAGCAGUAGGGAAUCUUCCGCAAUGGGCGAAAGCCUGACGGAGCAACGCCGCGUGAGUGAUGAAGGUCUUCGGAUCGUAAAACUCUGUUAUUAGGGAAGAACAUAUGUGUAAGUAACUGUGCACAUCUUGACGGUACCUAAUCAGAAAGCCACGGCUAACUACGUG